GACCGGUGAGUCCGCGGCUAGAGCUUCUCGCGGAGCGAAGGAUACUGAAUAAUACAUUUAAGGAAAAAAUGGAUGAAGAACCUGAAAGAACUAAGCGAUGGGAAGGAGGCUAUGAAAGGACAUGGGAGAUUCUUAAAGAAGAUGAAUCAGGAUCACUUAAAGCUACGAUAGAAGACAUUCUCUUCAAAGCAAAGAGAAAAAGAGUAUUUGAGCACCAUGGACAAGUUCGACUUGGAAUGAUGCGUCAUCUUUAUGUGGUAGUAGAUGGAUCAAGAACAAUGGAAGACCAAGAUUUAAAGCCAAAUAGACUGACUUGUACUUUAAAGUUAUUGGAAUACUUCGUAGAAGAAUAUUUUGAUCAAAAUCCUAUUAGUCAGAUUGGAAUAAUUGUAACAAAGAGUAAAAGAGCUGAAAAACUGACCGAACUCUCAGGAAACCCAAGGAAACAUAUAACAUCUUUGAAGAAAGCUGUAGAUAUGACCUGUCAUGGAGAACCAUCCCUCUAUAACUCCUUAAGCAUGGCUAUGCAAACUCUAAAACACAUGCCUGGACAUACAAGUAGAGAAGUUCUAAUCAUCUUUAGCAGCCUCACAACUUGUGAUCCGUCUAAUAUCUAUGAUCUAAUCAAGACCCUAAAGGCAGCUAAAAUUAGAGUGUCUGUUAUCGGAUUAUCUGCAGAGGUUCGGGUUUGCACUGUACUUGCUCGUGAAACUGGUGGCACAUACCAUGUUAUUUUAGAUGAAAGCCAUUAUAAAGAAUUGCUGACACAUCAUGUCAGUCCUCCGCCUGCUAGCUCAAGUUCUGAAUGUUCACUUAUUCGCAUGGGAUUUCCCCAGCAUACCAUUGCUUCUCUGUCUGAUCAAGAUGCAAAACCCUCUUUCAGCAUGGCGCACUUGGAUAGCAACACUGAGCCAGGACUUACAUUAGGAGGGUACUUCUGCCCACAGUGUCGGGCAAAGUACUGUGAGCUUCCAGUUGAAUGUAAAAUCUGUGGUCUUACUUUGGUGUCUGCUCCGCAUUUGGCACGGUCUUACCAUCAUUUAUUUCCUUUGGAUGCUUUUCGAGAACUUCCUCUAGAAGAACAUAAUGGAGAAAAAUUUUGUUAUGGAUGUCAGGGGGAAUUGAAAGACCAACAUGUCUAUGUUUGUGCUGUGUGCCAAAAUGUUUUCUGUGUGGACUGUGAUGUUUUUGUUCACGACUCUCUUCACUGUUGUCCUGGGUGCAUUCAUAAGAUUCCAACUUCUUCGAGUAUUUGAUUCCAACAUAUAGUACACAUUGUAUGUGUUAAAAGGACAUUUGCAACUGUUAAUAACGUGAUUCUUCAGAAGAAGCUCCAAUUAAGAUAUGAAGACCAGUUUGAAAGGAAAAUCUGAUUGAAGAAACUUUUUGCUAAGAAAAUGUAGGAUUGGGGCACCUGGCUCAGUCAUUUGGAAGAGCAUGAGACUCUUGAUGUCAGGGUUAUGAGUUCGAGCCCCACGAUGGAUUGCUACAAGUUUCUCACAUCAUAACCACAGGAACUGGAUUUAGUAACCGUAGUUUAACAAAUAAACAACACAUCCAGCCUAUGUAUAUCGGUAAGUCAGAAUCUCUUUGAUUGUAUUCUAUAUUUGUUUCAAAGGAAAAGAUAAUCCGAAGAUUGAAUUUUUAAAUUAUUAUACAUGUUGUCACUAAUAGAAGUAAGGAAGAAUUCCCUCCCCCUCCCGCGUGUCUUCUUGGAGUAGCUUGGGGUUUUUAGGUUUCCUGUUUAUCUUGUGUGCGCCGUGCCCUAACUAUGAAGUUGUCUGUAACCUGAGCCACGGAAGGAGCUGUACGUACGGAGGAGCCACAGCUGCCCCUGCUGACUCAACACUGGAGUGUGCACAUCUUGAGAAAUAAACCAACAACUGAGUACACACUGGGGGAAGAAAAAGAAGGAAGAAUUAUAUGAAAAUAAUGAUGAGUCUCAUAAGUGCUGAGAGUGAAGAAAAUCACACUGUUGCAGGAUUGCAGGGUUCUUGUCUCACCGAGUCGAAGAAUCAAUCUCAAGGACAAUGAUAUAGGAAAGAACCUUAGGGUUCGAAGCCCACGGCCAGAAUUCUUGAGACAUCUUUGGUGUGAAAAGCUAAAAAGACUAGGGAGAAUCCCAGAUGCAUGGAUACCCAUCCUUAGACUCAGUUGAAGCAACAGGAUUCUCUACCUCUCCUGGAGAAUUUGAACCGACAGAGAUACAGUCAAAUGGAUGGUAGACGGAACUGCAAGGCAGUGAUGAAAGCACUAAAGCAUGGGCAGCCAUGUUCAGCAGUGUGCACGAGGAAAAUCUGGAGGCCAGAAAAGAGAGAUAGGCGGCAGAUAAAGUGUGGAGAGGAGAAUGACAAUAUGACUUCUAAGGAAUGGAACAGAGCCAUGGUUCCUGCCUGGGUCGGUCCAGUGCUGUGACACUCAGCUUCACAUAAGCCAGUGUUCACCUUUUAUGAGGCUUGUGCACCAAAUUCACUUGAUAAAGCUGCGAGUGGACAAAUGCAGAAGAAAGAUGUGUAUACAGAAGUAAAUGGAAGCUAACAGAUGAUACAGAAAUGAAAAACAGUAACUGGACUGCUCAUUUCUACUGGUGCUAAUAAAUGUAAAAAUGAAAUAUUUUGCUGUUACACAACAAAGAAGGGACCUGUAAUCUGUCCAUUUAACAAAAUUAUGAGCCAUGAAAUCUCAAAAGUAUUGUUUUAAUGAAAUCCAGGAAGAAUCAUCAAAAUAAUAAGAAAGAGCACAGUAAAAAAUGUAUUUGAAAUCUAGAAUCAGUAUAAGAUAAAUACAGCCUCAUGCAUAACAACUAAUGAACAGUAAGUUGACUCCAAAGAAUGUUACCCACUUUAGAUACACAUACACACACACACACACAUUAAAUACUGGGAAAAUACGGAAUAAAAACUUGGGUUUGCUGUAUUUGAAUUUUCACUGAAGUUACUAACAAAGUUAUUUUCACUAUCUCUAUUCUUGUGUAAACUGCUUGUAGAAUGACUUCAAAAUAAAUACACUCGAUUCUCAUUAUUCAUGGUAGUUAUGUUCUAAAAAGUCACUAUAUGGGGCGCCUGAGUGGUUCAGUUGGUUUAAGUGUG